ACAACUGGUAAAAUGUUAUAAUUAAAUUUAAAACAAUUAUACCAUUGCCUUGCUAUACCGACUAUUUACCGUCUUGUGGCCAAACCUAAUUAAGGCGACGAAGUUUAUGAUGUACAGCUGCUGUCGAAAAUUCAAACAUGGAAAAAUCUUGAUACCACAAUUUCCAUUGGUGUUUGCAACACCGUGUUUUCUAUAUCUUCCCUUGGUAAUAAACUAAAGAUAUGGACUGUCAAUUGAAAUUGUCAAAGUCUUGGACUGUAUCGCGCAAACCAAGCCCGAAGCCAAUACGCAAACAGUCAAUGCCGACGUCCAACCUACCGACCAAGCCAACAGAGAUGCCGCCAAACCCAUGGACGCACGAACAGUGGCUUUAAAUUGGUUAUUUUUGCACAUUAUUCAGUCGUGUCGUUUGAUUUCUUCAAUUUGUUGACUGUGUCCAUUAGCUUUUAUAUUCAUCUAUUGUAGUUACUUUUUUAUAUAUACUUCCUGUUAAUCCUUACUAUUUCUUGUCAAUUUAUUUCUCGGCACUUUCCAAAGCCAAUCAUUUUUAAUACUGUAUGUUUUUUUAUGUUUACCUAUUAUGUAAUGUAUUUUGUUAUUUUAAUCACCAACAACGUCGGCCGCCAAACACUAGGCCCUCUGGCCAGUCUCAACCGUCGGGUACGAUCAAUGGUUUCGAAUGUGUGCAAGACCCUCAAAGACAAACUGCUGUCCAGAAUGCAUGAAGGCCUAGGCAGUACGGUCCCAUUCGAAGCCACAGACGUCAAUGCGGCCGGCCGAGCAACAGGAACGCGGUGGCCCGCUUCCGCCAAACCACCACCGCCAUCGUGGACGGCGAGUAUGAAGC